GCUCAGAUUGAACGCUGGCGGCAGGCCUAACACAUGCAAGUCGAACGGUAACAGGAAGAAGCUUGCUUCUUUGCUGACGAGUGGCGGACGGGUGAGUAAUGUCUGGGAAACUGCCUGAUGGAGGGGGAUAACUACUGGAAACGGUAGCUAAUACCGCACUAACGUCGCAAGACCAUAAGAGGGGGACCUUCGGGCCUCUUGCCAUCGGAUGUGCCCAGAUGGGAUUAGCUAGUAGGUGGGGUAACGGCUCACCUAGGCGACGAUCCCUAGCUGGUCUGAGAGGAUGACCAGCCACACUGGAACUGAGACACG
rnacentral:rRNA from 1 species